rnacentral:rRNA from 1 species
GACGAACGCUGGCGGCGUGCUUAACACAUGCAAGUCGAACGGAAAGGCCCUGCUUUUGUGGGGUGCUCGAGUGGCGAACGGGUGAGUAACACGUGAGUAACCUGCCCUUGACUUUGGGAUAACUUCAGGAAACUGGGGCUAAUACCGGAUAGGAGCUCCUGCUGCAUGGUGGGGGUUGGAAAGUUUCGGCGGUUGGGGAUGGACUCGCGGCUUAUCAGCUUGUUGGUGGGGUAGUGGCUUACCAAGGCUUUGACGGGUAGCCGGCCUGAGAGGGUGACCGGCCACAUUGGGACUGAGAUACGGCCCAGACUCCUACGGGAGGCAGCAGUGGGGAAUAUUGCACAAUGGGCGGAAGCCUGAUGCAGAGACGCCGCGUGCGGGAUGACGGCCUUCGGGUUGUAAACCGCUUUCGCCUGUGACGAAGCGUGAGUGACGGUAAUGGGUAAAGAAGCACCGGCUAACUACGUG